CCUACGGGGCGCAGCAGUGGGGAAUAUUGCACAAUGGGGGAAACCCUGAUGCAGCGACGCCGCGUGAGUGAAGAAGUAUUUCGGUACGUAAAGCUCUAUCAGCAGGGAAGAAAUAAAGUCCUUCGGACUUUGGACGGUACCUGACUAAGAAGCCCCGGCUAACUACGUGCCAGCAGCCGCGGUAAUACGUAGGGGGCAAGCGUUAUCCGGAUUUACUGGGUGUAAAGGGAGCGUAGACGGCAGCGCAAGUCUGGAGUGAAAUCCCAUGGCUUAACCAUGGAACUGCUUUGGAAACUGUGCAGCUG
rnacentral:rRNA from 1 species